GCUUUUGAUAUGGAAAGUAAAUCAAAUCAUCCACAUCCACACAGGACUUACACACAGGCAAGGAGCAUAUUGCAUGCCAGAAGGUUAGCUUGCUCCAUCACCUGGAGCGCUGCACAAAACGGCUGUAAAGCAGUUCCAACAUCUCCCUGGAGAGAAAACUCUGGCUCAAGUAGCCUUUCUGGAAGAUGCAAAGCUGAUACAACCAAUUCUGCACCACUCUGCACAAGACAACUCUGGAUGAGAAGAAAUAUACCAGGUGUGAAACUAUGACAAAAGUCACAUUGACUCCAGAAGGUCAUAUUUUACCCCAGGAAAUAAAUUCUCAACAAGUGAGGGAGCCUGGAGUAAC
rnacentral:lncRNA from 1 species